rnacentral:rRNA from 1 species
ACAUACGACCAUAGGACAUUUUCCAAACCACUCGAUCCCGUUCGCUCUCGAGAAGUUAAACGGUGUACCGGCGGGAGAGUAGCCAGGUGGGUGACCACUGGCGAACACCCGCUGUUGUAUGUA